CCAACAUUUAAACUUGAACAGGAUGUGACGUCAAUGUUGUUUUCUUCACACAGCAGGUCAAAAAUGCUCGCUGUCCGAAGCGUUCGAUCUUUAAUUAAACAUUUCACGGCUUGGAGGCACAUAUAAGAAUGCAGUUUUAUUAUUGUGUAUACAUUUCAUGGCUAGGGAUAAAAGCACAAUCAUACUGACGUUUGUAAUGAUUAAGAUAACCUAGUAUUAGCUAGCCAAAUGGCUAACCUCUAACUGUAGCUAUGCCAUCCAUUGUUAGCUAACGUUAACUAGCCACAUGUGUCCUAUAAACUAGCUAACUAUCCAGCAUCCUACCCGUUCACUUACAGCUACAUUAGGGUCGGACAUAAUUCCCGUGUAGAUUAAGAAACCACAGAGCCAGUGCUGUAAUAUUUGUGAUGAGACUAUUCGGAGUACAACGCAUUUGUCAUCCCUGGAUUGAUGUACAUUUCCGAACCAUAUAUUUUGCCAGUUCCGCGGUGUCUUAAUCUAUACAGGAAUGCUGUCCGACCCUAUGUAAGCAAACGGGUCGGAUCUGCUGGCCAAUAAACUAGCUAGCUGGCCAGAGUAAACUCUAUAUUUGAUGUAAGCUAACGUCCUCUUUACUUUUUUCGCAGAACAAUGUCUCAGAAGUAUCCCAGGCUCGUCUAAUGUAGUCCAGAAGAAGGAUGAAAUUGUAAACGAUUUAAUAUGCAUAUGUAACGUUACUAUUAGCUAGCUAUCCAUCUAGUAAGAGUGCACAAAGAAAAACUAUAUGGAUGGAAUAAUUGGGUUUCGGAUGACAUUUUAAAAUGCAAAUAUAACUUGAUUCUUAUGUACUCUUAGUGCUCAAGGAGUGACAUUCCACAUGACGAACAUUACUGUUUUAAACAGGAUUUGAUCUAUGGCAACUACAUUGUUGGAUGGAUUCACAUAACUUUAUGUACAUGUUUAUCUCCCCAGCCAUUAUGGAUGGAGAAUCCAUAUGAACAACCACAGAAGGGCUGCAUUCUGUGACAUCACAGUGGACUUCCAAGAAUGUUCAGGUCUGUCAGACUACAGUACCUAAUACUGUACUGAUGAGCAGAGAUGCAAUUGAGCAAUGUUUAAUUAUAAAAUGCAUACAUUUCCUCAACUUCUUUCCAAUAGCUGCUGUCCCUGUUUAUAAACCGCCACACAGGAAGAAUUUACAGUAGGCACGUAACAUGUGAGAACUUGGUCAGAUAAAGCUAAACAUGUUCAUAUCACAUCACCAGGCUGUCAUGUCAUAUUAACAAGGUGUUUAUUCCUUUCCAGGUCUGUGGUAAGAAACAGAGGGAGAUUUCCAAAGCCAUAAAGCUCAUUCUAUGGGAUUCAUGUCUGGACCCACAUUAUGAAAGAUCCAAACACUUUCGACAACCAGCACUUGGAGUAACUGUCAGCCUUUAUUGGGGAACUAGUGUAGGAUAGAUACUGUAAUAAUUGUAUUAAAAUAAUUCUUAAUGUGGAA